CCUACGGGAGGCAGCAGUGAGGAAUAUUGGUCAAUGGGCGAGAGCCUGAACCAGCCAAGUCGCGUGAGGGAGUACUGCCCUAUGGGUUGUAAACCUCUUUUGUCGGGGAGCAAAAGCCGGACGUGUCCGGCUGUGAGAUUACCCGAAGAAAAAGCAUCGGCUAACUCCGUGCCAGCAGCCGCGGUAAUACGGAGGAUGCGAGCGUUAUCCGGAUUUAUUGGGUUUAAGGGGUGCGCAGGCGGAUUUUUAAGUCAGCGGUAAAAUCGUGGGGCUCAACCCCAUCCAGCCGUUGAAACUGGGGAUCUAGAGUGUGCGAGAGGUAUGCGGAAUGCGUGGUGUAGCGGUGAAAUGCAUAGAUAUCACGCAGAACCCCGAUUGCGAAGGCAGCAUACCGGUGCACAACUGACGCUCAGGCACGAAAGCGUGGGUAUCGAACAGGAUUAGAUACCCUGGUAGUC
rnacentral:rRNA from 1 species